GGGCUCAUGGUCUAGCGGCUAUGACAGCGCCCUUACAAGGCGUUGAUCGCCGGUUCGAGAAGUAUGCAAGGUCCC
rnacentral:tRNA from 1 species